CUCGCUCGGGUUGGACUGGAGUAACCUCCCCAAAGACGCUUGAGCACGCCCAAGUUUGCCCGGGGCUCUGUUUGCCAGACCGAGAUUUCUGCUGCUCGACUUGAGCGGUUUGCCGACUUCUCUGCGCUCUGCGGGCUUGCCUUGAAUUCACUUUGACGCCGAGGAUAGCCCACCGCCUCCAUCCUACCACUGCAGCGCCGCAGCAUACCAGAUGGGGAUCGAACCCAGGGCUGGUAACCGAUAUCCAGUGGGCCACACGCUCCCCCCAACACCUCCACCCCAACCCCAACUCCCGCGCCAUCUCUUCGGGUUCUGUUUUCCUACUCAGGUGAUUGGCAGAGCAAGUGAGACGUCGCGAGAGGAUAGUGGUGUCCCUGCUGUCUCAGAAGCGUAAUUUACAUCAUGUCUCCUCCAAAAACCCUAAGAAUAGAUUUCAAUUAAAGAAGAAGAAGAGAAGAAGAAGAAGAAGAAGAAGAAGAAGAAGAAGAAGAAGAAGAAGAAGAAGAAGAAGAGGAAGAAGAAGAAGAAGAAGAAGAAGAAGAAGAAGAAGAAGAAGAAGAAGAAGAAGAAGAAGAAGAAGAAGAAGAAGAAGAAGAAGAAGAAAAACCACCAAGUUGUCUACCAGCGAGCAUCUUCCCCUGGGCCUCAGGGAAAUUAAAUCUUGAGGAGGGGCUCCCGGGGCACUCACUCUGCCUGUUCUUAGAAAUCGACAGUUAUGUUGCCAGGGAAACGGAAGGCGGGGUCCAAGGAUGAUUAUGAGGGGGAGGAUCUGUAAUAAAUAGCAAGGCAAAAGCAACUUAAUGGAGAAAGGCUUCUUCAGGUUCCGGAGGGACGCCACCCAUCACGGUGGGGAAAGCAUGGUGGUCGGACUCGGAGGCUGGCUGGGCAAGCAAAGGGUGGACAGGAAGUGGAGCCAGGCCAUGAAACCCCGGGGCAUUCCUUUCCCCCAGUGACUCAUUUCCUCCCCUCCCCCUCCUAGAGCGGCGAUUCUCGCCCUUCAUAACGCCGCGACCCUUUAACACAGUUCCUUCCUCCUGCUAUGGUGACACCCCAACCAUAAAAUCAAUUCAUUGCCACUUCA